AUUGAACGCUGGCGGCAUGCUUUACACAUGCAAGUCGAACGGCAGCAUAGGUGCUUGCACCUGAUGGCGAGUGGCGAACGGGUGAGUAAUAUAUCGGAACAUGUCCGGAAGUGGGGGAUAACGUAGCGAAAGUUACGCUAAUACCGCAUACGCCCUGAGGGGGAAAGGGGGGGAUCGCAAGACCUCUCGCUUUCGGAGUGGCCGAUAUCGGAUUAGCUAGUAGGUGAGGUAAAGGCUCACCUAGGCGACGAUCCGUAGCUGGUCUGAGAGGACGACCAGCCACACUGGGACUGAGACACGGCCCAGACUCCUACGGGAGGCAGCAGUGGGGAAUUUUGGACAAUGGGCGCAAGCCUGAUCCAGCCAUGCCGCGUGAGUGAAGAAGGCCUUCGGGUUGUAAAGCUCUUUCAGCCGGAAAGAAAUCGUACUUAUUAAUACUAAGUGCGGAUGACGGUACCGAAAGAAUAAGCACUCGCUAACUACGUGCCAGCCGCCGCCGUAA
rnacentral:rRNA from 1 species